GCCGGGUGUGGUAGUACACACCUGUAAUCCCAGCAGCUCAGGAGGCUAAGACAGGAGGAUCAUGAGUUCAAAGCCAGCCUCAGCAAUGGCGAGGCACUAAGCAAUGCAGUGAGACCCUGUCUCUA
rnacentral:sRNA from 1 species